rnacentral:rRNA from 1 species
CAGUCGCGCGGAAUACAGAGGGUGCGAGCGUUAAUCGGAUUUACUGGGCGUAAAGCGUGCGUAGGCGGCUUCUUAAGUCGGAUGUGAAAUCCCUGAGCUUAACUUAGGAAUUGCAUUCGAUACUGGGAAGCUAGAGUAUGGGAGAGGAUGGUAGAAUUCCAGGUGUAGCGGUGAAAUGCGUAGAGAUCUGGAGGAAUACCGAUGGCGAAGGCAGCCAUCUGGCCUAAUACUGACGCUGAGGUACGAAAGCAUGGGGAGCAAACAGGAUUAGAUACCCCUGUAGUCCCUGUCUCUUAUACAC